UGGGGGGGGCACAACCCCCCCCCCCCCUCAAAAAGGGGGGGGGGGGGGGUUAAAAACACCCCGAAAAAGGGGGGUUUCCCCUCUUUUUCCCCUGGGGGGGGGGAAAAAAAAAAAGGGGGGGCUUUUCCCUGGAAAAGUCCCCCCUUUUUGGGAGGUUCCCCCCGCCCGGAUUAAGUUAGGUUGGUAAAGGGAAGGGUUUACCAAGGGGGACGAUCGAUAGGCCGGCCUGGGAGGGGCGAUCGGCCCCCAUUGGGAUUGAGUUAAGCCCAGUCUCCUACGGGAGCCAGCAGUCUAGAAAUUUUGGCAAUGGGCGAAAGCCUGACCCUAGCGACACCGCGUGGGGGAUGAAGCUCCUCGGAGUGUAAACCCCUGUUAGGUGGGACGAAUCCCCGAUUGCAAAUAGUGAUCGGGGUUGACGGUACCACCAGAGGAAGCUCCGGCUAACUCCGUGCCAGCAGCCGCGGUAAUACGGGGGGAGCGAGCGUUGUUCGGAUUUAUUGGGCGUAAAGGGCGUACAGGCGGUAGUGUAAGUCAGAUGUGAAAUGCUCCGGCUCAACCGGGGAUCUGCAUUUGAUACUGCAUUACUUGAGUACAGGAGAGGAGAGCGGAAUUCUAGGUGUAGCGGUGGAAUGUGUAGAUAUCUGGAAGAACACCAGUGGCGAAGGCGGCUCUCUGGCCUGAUACUGACGCUGACGCGCGAAAGCUAGGGGAGCAAACAGGAUUAGAUACCCUGGUAGUCCUAGCUGUAAACGUUGGGCACUAGGUGUUGGGGGUAUCGACCCCCUCAGUGCCGAAGCUAACGCAUUAAGUGCCCCGCCUGGGGAGUACGGCCGCAAGGCUGAAACUCAAAGGAAUUGACGGGGGCCUGCACAAGCGGUGGAGCAUGUGGUUUAAUUCGAUGCAACGCGAAGAACCUUACCUGGACUUGACAUGUGCCUGAAAGCCCUAGAGAUAGGGCCCCUCUUCGGAGCGGGUUCACAGGUGCUGCAUGGCUGUCGUCAGCUCGUGUCGUGAGAUGUUGGGUUAAGUCCCGCAACGAGCGCAACCCUUGCCCUUAGUUGCCAGCAGGUAAUGCUGGGCACUCUAGGGGUACUGCCGGUGAUAAAUCGGAGGAAGGCGGGGAUGAGGUCAAGUCAUCAUGGCCCUUAUGUCCAGGGCUACACACGUGCUACAAUGGCCGGUAUAAAGGGUUACAAUACCGCGAGGUGGAGUCAAUCCCAAAAAGCCGGUCUCAGUUCGGAUUGCAGUCUGAAACUCGACUGCAUGAAGUUGGAAUCGCUAGUAAUCGCGGAUCAGCANCGCCGUCUGUAUUGCCCCC
rnacentral:rRNA from 1 species